CUCAGUUACUGCUCUGCAUUCCAGGCCACAGGGGCAUGGAUCUCAUUAGGCAGCCUUACAAAGCCUAUAUGGACAGCCUUGUUAGGAAAGGGGAUGCCAUGGAACUCUUCUUGAUUUCACUUGAGCUGAAGGACUUUUUAACAAUGUAUUUUUGAGGAAUAAUUGUUUAAAAAAAAAAAAAAAGUUUUAAGAUGUAUUUGAAAGUGAGGGAAUAUGAAAGAGAGAAAGCAAGAAAGGAAGAAAGAGGAUUAACAAGUAUUCACCUUUUAUUACCAUAUGUAAUUGAUGAGCAACAAAUUUAACAACACAAGCAUUACUGAAACAGAUUCUGGGAGCACUACCACGAAUAUAAGUCACACUCAGGCCUCUUCUGAUCCUAGCACAAUUAACAAGUAGGAAAACUUCCCUUGACUUAGCAGAAAAGUGGAAGAAGGAGGCAUGGACUUCCCCACUUUUGUGGGUUGCAUAUACCAUCUCAGAAGCUAGGAAGCCUGUCCUUGUCCAUAGACUCUUUCAACAGAGUAUGAACAAUUCCUGCUGUUUUGAAAUCUUUCUCCUGCUUUUGCACCCAAAAGACCACAGCCCGGCCUGAAGCUCCUUUUUUGAGGAGAGCUGCACAAACAAAGAUAAGAACAGGCCUAAUCUUGUGCCAAAAUGAUCUGCAGCAACGAACUAGGACAUGGUUACAGCCAUAUUUAUUGGCAUUCCAGCACUAUGACUCACGUGGAAUUAGCUCUAGAAGUGGAACAAUGUGAGCUGAAGAGGUUUACAGUUGAGGGAUAAACAGACAAAGGAGAUGGAUUGAGGAUCCAACCUGCAAGAGAUCACAUUUAGGAGAGAAUUGGCAUGACAUGGAGAGAUUCCAGAAGCAAUUCACUGAAGAAAAUUACCCCAUCCAGAAGAAAUACCCUAGGAUUUGACAAGUAUCAUCAGAUGAGGACAUUUCUAGACACUGUUUUGGAGGUAGACAUUAACUACCUGAAAUGAGCCCCAAAGCUCCUGCUGUCUCAAAGCCACAAGUGCUGCUGGCUCUUUUCUUCCAUGACCAACACUUUGCUCCACUGCCUGAUGCUUUAAAUGUACUAGGGAAUGCAGGCAUGGUGCUAACAUCACAACUGCUGUUCGUGUACAGGCUCACUGCCCAGUCAAGACAUACCUAUCCUUCUCCAGGGACAACAAUCCACUGCAAACCAUCUUCAGAGAAGUAUUCUUUUCAUCUGCUUCUUUUUUCACCCUCCUAGGAUUUCAAGCCUCUCUCAUAUCUGUUGAUAACACAUCUGUGACAGAGGGAAUAUACAUAAUGAAUGAGCUAUUAAAUUGCAGGAUCCUACUGAAAGGCUGCAAGAAACUCAGACUUUUCCAGAGUGCUAACAUGAUUCAUACUGUAUGUUUGCAUGAUAUUGGCAGCUGUAAGACUUGGGAUUAUUUUAAAAGGUUGUGUUCUCACAUAUAUUUAAGUAUUUGUCAUUGUGGGUCUUCAUGGGAAGUCUGUGUUUAAGCUGUACAAGAAUGCUAAAGAGAAAUGAUUAUUGGUAGCAGAUCAUUUGGGACCAUCCACUUCCACCUCUUGGCUUCAGAACUCAACAAAUCCAGCUCCAGCUGAAGAGACCAAGACACAGCUUCAUGCAGAGAGCGUCACUGGAUCUCUGAGCAGUGAGCACAGCUGACCCAUGGGGCCACAUGGGUCACGGUCACUUGAGUGCAGCCCAGUAUUGUCAGUGGAACUUCUGGAACUGGAAGAUCACCAUUCAGUUCCUUUUAGACUCUACAGACAGCCCAGAUUCAACGCCAGUAACUCAUGCAAUUGCUAUGAACAGCAAAAUGGGAUUGCUAGUAUGAGGUGAUGUUUCUUGUCACUGUGGAAUUUGCCAUGAGAUAGUUAGAUGGCACUGGAAGCCAAAGAAGAAUGGAGUUCAAAAUCCCAAAUAUUAUCCUAAAAGCACUAUUUAUUUUAAUAACUAUGAGCUCCAUGUGAGGACCAUUACACCAAAUAAUGUGAAGAAAACUCUGUGGCAGACAGACCCAUUGCCUGUGCUGAAAUCCAGAUGGCAAUGCCAGCCAGUUUCUGACGGAUAUUUACCUAGGCUCCUUUCAACAUUUUCUUGAUGUUCUUCAGAUGCUGUCGGUAGCUGAAAGCUUUAUUCAGUGUGCCUCCAAAAUUCCUGCGCUCCAACAUUCCACUGAGCUCAGCGGUUGGGAUGCCAGCAGAGCUGACCACCUACAACCAAGCCUUGCAGAAUGGUAUGAACGGAUCCCAAACAAAAAUUGGUUAUUUCCAAGCAGCCCUGUCUCACCAUAGAGAGAUGUGGAAACAAGUAAAUAAAAAGUCAGUCGUUUCGAGCCCA
rnacentral:lncRNA from 1 species